rnacentral:rRNA from 1 species
AGUAAUAGAUGGAUAACCUACCUAGAAGUUGGGGAUAACACAGAGAAAUUUGUGCUAAUACCGAAUGUGACGGUUCCUGGUAGCAGGGAUUGGUUAAAGCAGCAAUGCGCUUUUAGAUGGGUCCAUGGCUGAUUAGCUAGUUGGUGGGGUAAAGGCCUACCAAGGCGACGAUCAGUAGCCGGCCUGAGAGGGUGAACGGCCACAAUGGAACUGAGACACGGUCCAUACUCCUACGGGAGCGAGCAGUUAAGA